rnacentral:rRNA from 1 species
UACGUAGGGGGCAUGCGUUGUCCGGAUUUAUUGGGCGUAAAGCGAGCGCAGGUGGUUUAUUAAGUCUGGUGUAAAAGGCAGUGGCUCAACCAUUGUAUGCAUUGGAAACUGGUAGACUUGAGUGCAGGAGAGGAGAGUGGAAUUCCAUGUGUAGCGGUGAAAUGCGUAGAUAUAUGGAGGAACACCGGUGGCGAAAGCGGCUCUCUGGCCUGUAACUGACACUGAGGCUCGAAAGCGUGGGGAGCAAACAGG